CAAAAUUAUCUUUUAGCGGCAAUUAUCUCAUAAAUUAGCGGCGAUUAUAAUCGCCGCUACUCUCUUUACGGGCAAUUAUAAUAAUUGCCACUAUAAGUGGGGUCCGUAAAAGUUUAGCGGUAAUUAUAUUGGCGGCCGGUAAAGAGCAAAACAAUUGUCACUAAAGAUUACUCUAUACCGACAAUUAAACAGGCCAUUAAAAGUAAAAUACAUUUGCUCAUAAAAUAUCUAACAUUAAUCACAAAUGCCAACAAAGAUAAGAUAAAUAGCCACUAAAUAUAAAAAAACAUUAAAUCAUCAUUAAAAUCGUAUAUUCAAUUAAUCACUAUAAAAAUUUCAAAAGAUAAUGUAUAGACAAUGAAAAUUAAAAACCAUCAAUAGACAAGUUCAGCUAACAACAAAGACAACAAUGAAUGGACAUGUGCAUUUCUUUGACCAGUUCAACACGCUACAGUUUAAUGAACAAACCAUCAAUAGUAACCAAAAGACUAGCUAACAACAAAGACAUAUCAUUAAGUGACAAUAUCGAAGAUUUUGGGUUCAUUGCCCGCCUCGCAUGAAGGACUUGAAGUCGGGUUCAGAAUCUCAAAGCAUAUGAUUCCUUCGAAACAAUCUUCUAAUCCGAGCCUCUUAAGGGCUUUGGACACAUGGACCUUAUCGCCGUUUGUGAAUAUCUGUUACGCGACACAGCCAAAAACCCACAUGCAUCAGGAAAACGGAAACAACUUAGACAAAAGCACUUGCUAUUCAUCGCAUUGAAAUUAAGGGAACUUACGACUUUACAGAUUGGAAGGCUCAGGAGAAGGUUUCUGAGAAUAGGGUCAGACUUUAUCUUCUCAUAAGGUAAUCUUCCAUGGACAAAGCUGUCGAACGCAAAGCACGCUAAACUUCAGUACGGCCUUCCAUCCCUAGAGUGACGGUCAGUCGGAGAAAGUCAUCUAGACCCUUGAGGACAUGCUC
rnacentral:lncRNA from 1 species